rnacentral:rRNA from 1 species
ACGAACGCUGGCGGCGUGCUUAACACAUGCCAGUCGAACGGAAAGGCCCUGCUUUUGUGGGGUGCUCGAGUGGCGAACGGGUGAGUAACACAUGAGUAACCUGCCCUUGACUUUGGGAUAACUUCAGGAAACUGGGGCUAAUACCGGAUAGGAGCUCCUGCUGCAUGGUGGGGGUUGGAAAGUUUCGGCGGUUGGGGAUGGACUCGCGGCUUAUCAGCUUGUUGGUGGGGUAGUGGCUUACCAAGGCUUUGACGGGUAGCCGGCCUGAGAGGGUGACCGGCCACAUUGGGACUGAGAUACGGCCCAGACUCCUACGGGAGGCAGCAGUGGGGAAUAUUGCACAAUGGGCGGAAGCCUGAUGCAGCAACGCCGCGUGCGGGAUGACGGCCUUCGGGUUGUAAACCGCUUUCGCCUGUGACGAAGCGUGAGUGACGGUAAUGGGUAAAGAAGCACCGGCUAACUACGUG